rfam:Triticum aestivum genome assembly, contig: Triticum_aestivum_CS42_TGACv1_scaffold_499743_6BL
UAAAUACUCCCUCCGUCCGAAAAUACUUGUCAUCAAAAUGAAUAAAAAAUGAUGUAUCUAGAACUAAAAUACAUCUAGAUACAUCCCUCUUUAUCCAUUUUGAUGACAAGUAUUUCCCGGACGGAGGGAGUAUAAC